rnacentral:lncRNA from 1 species
UUCUUCAUCUCUUCCUCUUCCUCCCAGGUAGAAUCUCCUGUUCUGUUGUCCCAAACAACCUUGACAAGAGUAACAAUCUUGUUCUUCCAUCGCUGGUAUCGAUUUUCCUCAACUCGCACCGGUUGCACUUCAAUGGACAAAUUCUCCUUGACUUGCACAUCAUCAAUCUCCAGCAUAUGAGAGGGGUCAGAGACAUAUUUUCUCAGUUGAGACACAUGAAAUACCGGAUGGAGAUUAGCCAAUUGAGGAGGCAUGGCUAUCUCAUAGGC